GGUUUAUCUGGACGAUGUCACUAAUGAACCAUACAUUUCGGAUCAGGAAACCAGCAAGUAGCAUCCCUUAAAUGAAAGCAAAUUUCUCCAAUUUUCCUGGAAGACUGGGGAUCUGAACGAUGACCUCUGUCCUAAGCAACUCAACAGACAUGUGCUGUCACGCUUAAGUUUCUGUUGCUCAGUAUUACCUGUCUGACAAGCAGUGUCAUGCUCAACUCAUAACUUUCAGAUGCAGAUGUAAUUUAGAAAAGAAAAAAGCAGAAUCCAAAUGGCAGGUAUGCUACAUGCAAAACUUCCCUCCCUCUCAUUUGAAUUUCUUCUCACUCAAGAAACUAAGCAGCGCAAGAACACACAUGCUGCCUGAACAGAGCUGUGCAUGAUGCUAUCAAGCCCUUCUGUAAGCAGUGCUACUGUGUGAAGCACAC